rnacentral:rRNA from 1 species
GAUGAACGCUGGCGGCGUGCCUAAUACAUGCAAGUCGAGCGAACGGACGAGAAGCUUGCUUCUCUGAUGUUAGCGGCGGACGGGUGAGUAACACGUGGAUAACCUACCUAUAAGACUGGGAUAACUUCGGGAAACCGGAGCUAAUACCGGAUAAUAUUUUGAACCGCAUGGUUCAAAAGUGAAAGACGGUCUUGCUGUCACUUAUAGAUGGAUCCGCGCUGCAUUAGCUAGUUGGUAAGGUAACGGCUUACCAAGGCAACGAUGCAUAGCCGACCUGAGAGGGUGAUCGGCCACACUGGAACUGAGACACGGUCCAGACUCCUACGGGAGGCAGCAGUAGGGAAUCUUCCGCAAUGGGCGAAAGCCUGACGGAGCAACGCCGCGUGAGUGAUGAAGGUCUUCGGAUCGUAAAACUCUGUUAUUAGGGAAGAACAUAUGUGUAAGUAACUGUGCACAUCUUGACGGUACCUAAUCAGAAAGCCACGGCUAACUACGUGCCAGCAGCCGCGGUAAUACGUAGGUGGCAAGCGUUAUCCGGAAUUAUUGGGCGUAAAGCGCGCGUAGGCGGUUUUUUAAGUCUGAUGUGAAAGCCCACGGCUCAACCGUGGAGGGUCAUUGGAAACUGGAAAACUUGAGUGCAGAAGAGGAAAGUGGAAUUCCAUGUGUAGCGGUGAAAUGCGCAGAGAUAUGGAGGAACACCAGUGGCGAAGGCGACUUUCUGGUCUGUAACUGACGCUGAUGUGCGAAAGUGUGGGGAUCAAACAGGAUUAGAUACCCUGGUAGUCCACGCCGUAAACGAUGAGUGCUAAGUGUUAGGGGGUUUCCGCCCCUUAGUGCUGCAGCUAACGCAUUAAGCACUCCGCCUGGGGAGUACGACCGCAAGGUUGAAACUCAAAGGAAUUGACGGGGACCCGCACAAGCGGUGGAGCAUGUGGUUUAAUUCGAAGCAACGCGAAGAACCUUACCAAAUCUUGACAUCCUUUGACAACUCUAGAGAUAGAGCCUUCCCCUUCGGGGGACAAAGUGACAGGUGGUGCAUGGUUGUCGUCAGCUCGUGUCGUGAGAUGUUGGGUUAAGUCCCGCAACGAGCGCAACCCUUAAGCUUAGUUGCCAUCAUUAAGUUGGGCACUCUAAGUUGACUGCCGGUGACAAACCGGAGGAAGGUGGGGAUGACGUCAAAUCAUCAUGCCCCUUAUGAUUUGGGCUACACACGUGCUACAAUGGACAAUACAAAGGGCAGCGAAACCGCGAGGUCAAGCAAAUCCCAUAAAGUUGUUCUCAGUUCGGAUUGUAGUCUGCAACUCGACUACAUGAAGCUGGAAUCGCUAGUAAUCGUAGAUCAGCAUGCUACGGUGAAUACGUUCCCGGGUCU